GUAGGUGGCAAGCGUUGUCCGGAAUUAUUGGGCGUAAAGCGCGCGCAGGUGGGUUCUUUAAGUCUGAUGUGAAAGCCCCGGGCUCAACCGGGGAGGUCAUUGGAAACUGGGGAACUUGAGUGCAGGAGAGGAAAGUGGAAUUCCACGUGUAGCGGUGAAAUGCGUAGAUAUGUGGAGGAACACCAGUGGCGAAGGCGACUUUCUGGCCUGUAACUGACACUGAGGCGCGAAAGCGUGGGGAGCAAACAGGAUUAGAUACCCUGGUAGUCCACGCCGUAAACGAUGAGUGCUAAGUGUUGGGGGGUUUCCGCCCCUCAGUGCUGCAGCUAACGCAUUAAGCACUCCGCCUGGGGAGUACGGUCGCAAGACUG
rnacentral:rRNA from 1 species